rnacentral:rRNA from 1 species
ACGCACGCUGGCGGCAUGCCUCACACCUGCAAGUCGAACGAGACCUUCGGGUCUAGUGGCGCACGGGUGCGUAACGCGUGGGAACCUGCCUUUAGGUUCGGAAUAACUCAGAGAAAUUUGAGCUAAUACCGGAUGAUGUCUUCGGACCAAAGAUUUAUCGCCUUUAGAUGGGCCCGCGUUGGAUUAGCUAGUUGGUGGGGUAAAGGCCUACCAAGGCGACGAUCCAUAGCUGGUCUGAGAGGAUGAUCAGCCACACUGGGACUGAGACACGGCCCAGACUCCUACGGGAGGCAGCAGUGGGGAAUAUUGGACAAUGGGCGAAAGCCUGAUCCAGCAAUGCCGCGUGAGUGAUGAAGGCCUUAGGGUUGUAAAGCUCUUUUACCCGAGAUGAUAAUGACAGUAUCGGGAGAAUAAGCUCCGGCUAACUCCGUG